AGUUUACUUAGAAUGCUUCUGGUAACAGACUGUGUGAAACUUACUGGUAUUUUUGACAAACUUUCUAUCAAAUUCUAAUUAAAGUUCUUCUGACUUCAGCUGACUUUGGGAUGCUUCAGAGGGCCCCCGAGAUGUCUUAGAGAAGGACAUGAAGCUAACUAGGCCUGGCUGCUGUGCAGAAUAGCGGGGAAGCGGUCAAGCGAGUGAGGAGGGGUCUUUGUCAUCCACAGGCAGUUAGGCUGAUGCUUUGCAGAACUGCUUCACCUUCAAGAGGAUCCACAGAGAAGACUUUGACAGAUGUUUCCUUCCCCAUCAGUACUGCCCCCAGUGUCAGGACAGAGAGAGAAUUUUCUAACGGAGUCGUCGGGGUGCAACUACGCACGAGGGGGAGCAAGGUGUGCUGAGUCUGCUGCUAAAAGCGCGUGCACGAGGCUCGUGUAACAACCGGGCAUGAGUGAUAAAGUGUAGGGCCUGUGAAGCGCCUCCCGCUGACACACCUCUGAGCCUGCUCACGACGUCCAAUCAGUUUCCCCCGACAUGGAUAACGAGGCAAAUACAAAGGAGGCCUCACACCGAGGGACGUGGCCUGAACUGGGACAGAGCCACCCCCCCAGCAUCGAGGGGCAGACGUUGUGAUCAUCAGUGCUUUCCACUGAAAGGCUCUCCGUCAAAAGGAGAAAUGAUGGAAAAAUCUGCACACACACACACGGGGAGCCCAUUCUGGCUUAGGUACGGUUUAACUUACAAUUUACUGGCCAAAGUGGCGUGUUUUAUGACAUUUUGGACACGCACUGCACACCUGCUCUGGCCUUGA